rnacentral:miRNA from 1 species
UGAAGCUUCAGUUGGUUGUAU